GACGAACGCUGGCGGCACGCUUAACACAUGCAAGUCGAACGGACGAGAGAGAGCUUGCUCUCUCAAGUUAGUGGCGGACGGGUGAGUAACACGUGAGCAACCUGCCUUUAAGAGUGGGAUAACGGUCGGAAACGACCGCUAAUACCGCAUAAUAUACUUGUAUCGCAUGGUAUGGGUAUCAAAGAUUUAUCGCUUAAAGAUGGGCUCGCGUCUGAUUAGCUGGUUGGUGAGGUAACGGCUCACCAAGGCGACGAUCAGUAGCCGUACUGAGAGGUAGAACGGCCACAUUGGGACUGAGACACGGCCCAG
rnacentral:rRNA from 1 species